UACGUAGGGCGCAAGCGUUUGUCCGGAAUUAUUGGGCGUAAAGAGCGUGUAGGCGGCCAGAUAGGUCAGCUGUGAAAACUCGAGGCUCAACCUCGAGAUGUCGGCUGAAACCAUCUGGCUAGAGUCCGGAAGAGGAGAAUGGAAUUCCCGGUGUAGCGGUGAAAUGCGCAGAUAUCGGGAAGAACACCCGUGGCGAAGGCGGUUCUCUGGGACGGUACUGACGCUGAGACGCGAAAGCGUGGGGAGCGAACAGG
rnacentral:rRNA from 1 species